rnacentral:rRNA from 1 species
UACGGAGGGAGCUAGCGUUGUUCGGAAUUACUGGGCGUAAAGCGCACGUAGGCGGCUUUGUAAGUUAGAGGUGAAAGCCCGGGGCUCAACUCCGGAAUUGCCUUUAAGACUGCAUCGCUCGAAUCCGGGAGAGGUGAGUGGAAUUCCGAGUGUAGAGGUGAAAUUCGUAGAUAUUCGGAAAGAACACCAGUGGCGAAGGCGGCUCACUGGCCCGGUACUGACGCUGAGAUACGAAAAGCGUGGGGAGCAAACAGG